UACAGAGGUCCCAAGCGUUGUUCGGAUUCACUGGGCGUAAAGGGUGCGUAGGUGGUCGGGUAAGUCUGAUGUGAAAUCUCUGGGCUCAACCCAGAAAUGGCAUUGGAUACUAUCCAGCUAGAGGAGUGGAGGGGGGACUGGAAUACUUGGUGUAGCAGUGAAAUGCGUAGAUAUCAAGUGGAACACCAGUGGCGAAGGCGAGUCCCUGGACACUUCCUGACACUGAGGCACGAAAGCUAGGGGAGCAAACAGG
rnacentral:rRNA from 1 species